rnacentral:snRNA from 1 species
GUGCUUGCUUUGGCAGUGCACAUAAAAAAAAUUGAAAUGACAGAGAUUACGCUGGCCACUGCACAAAGAUGACAAGCAAAUUCAUGAUAUACCUGUAUUUAC